GCAGCUGAAGCCGUGAGCCGUGCCUUUUGGAGAUGGCAACCCAAACGGAGGGGAAUUGUCCCGUUCUUCCAGGUCAUCGGCAAACUGAAGCACCACAGAAACUACAA
rfam:Aedes aegypti strain Liverpool supercont1.136 genomic scaffold, whole genome shotgun sequence.